CCUACGGGGGACAGCAGUGGGGAAUAUUGCACAAUGGGGGAAACCCUGAUGCAGCGACGCCGCGUGAGUGAAGAAGUAAUUCGUUAUGUAAAGCUCUAUCAGCAGGGAAGAAAAUGACGGUACCUGAGUAAGAAGCCCCGGCUAACUACGUGCCAGCAGCCGCGGUAAGACGUAGGGGGCAAGCGUUAUCCGGAUUUACUGGGUGUAAAGGGAGCGUAGACGGCAGUGCAAGUCUGGAGUGAAAGGCGGGGGCUCAACCCCCGGACUGCUCUGGAAACUGUACGGCUGGAGUGCAGGAGAGGUAAGUGGAAUUCCUAGUGUAGCGGUGAAAUGCGUAGAUAGUAGGAGGAACACCAGGGGCGAAGGCGGCUUACUGGACUGUAACUGACGUUGAGGCUCGAAAGCGUGGGGAGCAAACAGGAUUAGAUACCCGAGUAGUC
rnacentral:rRNA from 1 species